GUACUUGGUAGAGGUGCUGUAUUUAUGAUUAGCUUUAUGGAGUUUAAGCAACGUUGAAUUAAAGUGAAAGGAAAUAUAGCCGAAGUUUUUAAUCCUUGCUGUAGGAUUAUUUGCUGGGGAUACAUAUAAGAUGUGUAUCACUGUCACAUUAUUUGUGGAGAGCUAUCAUUCAA
rnacentral:ncRNA from 2 species